GCAUGGACGAAAGUCGACGAGCACGCGCGUGAGUGAUGAGCUUUCGAGUCGUAAAACUCUGUGUAGGGAAGAACAAGUGCUAGUGAAUAAGCUGGCACCUUGACGGUACCUAACCAGAAAGCACGGCUAACUACGUGCCAGCAGCCGCGGUAAUACGUAGGUGGCAAGCGUAUCCGGAAAUAUUGGGCGUAAAGCGCGCGCAGGUGGUUUCUUAAGUUUGAUGUGAAAGCCCACGGCUCAACCGUGGAGGGUCAUUGGAAACUGGGAGACUUGAGUGCAGAAGAGGAAAGUGGAAUUCCAUGUGUAGCGGUGAAAUGCGUAGAGAUAUGGAGGAACACCAGUGGCGAAGGUGACUUUCUGGUCUGUAACUGACACUGAGGCGCGAAAGCGUGGGGAGCAAACAGGAUUAGAUACCCUGGUAGUCCACGCCGUAAACGAUGAGUGAUAAGUGUUAGAGGGUUUCCGCCCUUUAGUGCUGAAGUUAACGCAUUAAGCACUCCGCCUGGGGAGUACGGCCGCAAGGCUGAAACUCAAAGGAAUUGACGGGGGCCCGCACAAGCGGUGGAGCAUGUGGUUUAAUUUGAAGCAACGCGAAGAACCUUACCAGGUCUUGACAUCCUUUGACAACCCUAGAGAUAGGGCUUCUCCUUCGGGAGCAGAGUGACAGGUGGUGCAUGGUUGUCGUCAGAACGUGUCGUGAGAUGUUGGGUUAAGUCCCGCAACGAGCGCAACCCUUGAUUCUAGUUUUCAUCCAUUAGGUGGGCAUUCUAAGGUGACCGUCCGGUACAAAUCGGGGGAAGGUGGGGAUGACGUCAAAUCAUCUCGCCCUUUCAGACCUGGGAUACACACGUGCUACAAUGGGCGGUUACAAGACCAGCAAGACCGUGAGGUGGAGGUAAUUUCAUAAAACCCUUCUCAGUUCGCAUUGUAGGUUGCAACUCGCCUACUCAAAAUGGAUCCGGUAGUAAUCCCGAUUAGCAUGAGUUAUGCCAGUCGUUUGGGCGGCUUAGUACACGCCGACUCUCACAUCCGGAGAGAAUGUAACACCAGAAAGCUGUGGGGUCACCCGCUGGAGCCAGCACGCUAGACGUGAGCGAGUU
rnacentral:rRNA from 1 species